rnacentral:rRNA from 1 species
AUUGAACGCUGGCGGCAUGCCUUACACAUGCAAGUCGAACGGCAGCACGGGGCAACCUGGUGGCGAGUGGCGAACGGGUGAGUAAUGCAUCGGAACGUACCUUUCAGUGGGGGAUAACGUAGCGAAAGUUACGCUAAUACCGCAUAUUCUGUGAGCAGGAAAGCAGGGGAUCGCAAGACCUUGCGCUGAUUGAGCGGCCGAUGUCAGAGUAGCUAGUUGGGGAGGUAAAGGCUCACCAAGGCGACGAUCUGUAGCGGGUCUGAGAGGAUGCUCCGCCACACUGGAACUGAGACACGGUACAGACUCCUACGGGAGGCAGCAGUGGGGAAUUUUGGACAAUGGGGGCAACCCUGAUCCAGCCAUGCCGCGUGAGUGAAGAAGGCCUUCGGGUUGUAAAGCUCUUUCGGCCGGGAAGAAAUCGCACGGGCUAAUACCCUGUGUGGAUGACGGUACCGGAAUAAGAAGCACCGGCUAACUACGUGCCAGCCGCCGCAGUAAUAC